AGCAGCCGCGGUAAUUCCAGCUCCAAUAGCGUAUAUUAAAGUUGUUGCAGUUAAAAAGCUCGUAGUUGAAUUUCGGGAUCAAUACGUCGGUCGUGCUUCGGUACGUACUGGCGUAAUUGAUUUCUCCCUUCUGACGAACCAUGAUGUCAUUAACUUGGUGUCAUGGGAAAUCAGGACUGUUACUUUGAAAAAUUAGAGUGUUUAAAGCAGGCUCACGCUUGAAUACAUUAGCAUGGAAUAAUGAAAUAGGACGUUCGAUCCUAUUUUGUUGGUUUUUAGGAUCAACGUAAUGAUUAGUAGGGAUAGUUGGGGGCAUUAGUAUUCAAUUGUCAGAGGUGAAAUUCUUGGAUUUAUUGAAGACUAACUACUGCGAAAGCAUUUGCCAAGGAUGUUUUCAUUAAUCAAGAACGAAAGUUAGGGGAUCGAAGACGAUCAGAUACCGUCGUAGUCUUAACCAUAAACUAUGCCGACUAGGGAUCGGAUGAU
rnacentral:rRNA from 1 species